CCUUAUCUGGAACGGGUUUCGCUGGCUAACGUAUUGUGAGGAAAGAAAAAAAAAUGUUCCAGCGCGCGCGUAGCGCAAUUUUCAAUUCGUUGUCGACGAAACCUGCACUGGAGGAAGG
rnacentral:pre_miRNA from 1 species